rnacentral:rRNA from 1 species
UCAAUGAAUCUUAAAUGGCCGCAGUAUAAUGACUGUGCUAAGGUAGCAUAAUAAUUUGCCUUUUAAUUGGGGGCUGGAAUGAAAGGUUUUAUGGAAAAUAGCUGUUUUAGAAGAGAAAAUUGAACUUAAGCUCUUCAUUAAAACUUGAAGGGGCACUCAAGGGACGAGAAGACCCUGUGGAUUUUUAUUUAUUAUAAAAUAGAUUUUAUAACAUUUUAUUUUUUAUUUAAAUUUGGUUGGGACGACAGUAGAGUUAACUUUAUUAGAGAGAUAAUUAAGACCCUUUUUAAGGGAAAAAGAACAAAUUACCCCAGGGAUAACAGCGUAAUACUUUUGGACAGGACAUAUGGAUAAAAGUGUUUGCGACCUCGAUGUUGAAUUAAAAUACCUUUAUUAAGCAUAAAUAAUAGAAGUAAGUCUGUU